GGAUUUUCGAGGCGCGCCUGAAGGCAUCACAACAGUAGCAGCCCAGCAGGUUGUCUUAUCUACAGGAGCUGAGGAAAGCGCUGUUCCACGUUCGCCUCCACCUCUUCGUCCAGUCGUUCACACUGGUCUUCUUCCCCCUGGUCGUCUGCUGCUGCUGCAGGUCCUGGCGCUGACCACCAUCGACCAGUGGCUUCUCAAAGGCUGCUGAAUGUUAAUUUCUAAACCCUCAGCAGAAGUCCUGGUGUCCUCUGGUUUCCUUCCAGUCCACCAGCUGCGUCACAGAGGACUGAGAGGGCAUCUCCAUCUCAAAGAUGUAUCUCUUGAUGAGAGAGUGUGCAGAUG